rnacentral:rRNA from 1 species
UACGUAGGCAGCAAGCGUUGUUCGGAAUACUGGGCGUAAAGCGUGUGUAGGCGGCCAUGUAAGUCGGGUGUGAAAGCCCCGGGCUCAACCCGGGAAGUGCACUCGAAACUGCGUGGCUUGAGUAUCGGAGAGGUUGGUGGAAUUCUCGGUGUAGAGGUGAAAUUCGUAGAUAUCGAGAGGAACACCGGUGGCGAAGGCGGCCAACUGGACGAAUACUGACGCUGAGACACGAAAGCGUGGGAGCAAACAGG